rnacentral:rRNA from 1 species
UACGUAGGGAGCAAGCGUUGUCCGGAAUCAUUGGGCGUAAAGCGCGCGUAGGCGGCCCUGUAAGUCCGUUGUGAAAGUCAAAGGCUCAACCUUUGAAAGCCGAUGGAUACUGCAGGGCUAGAGUCCGGAAGAGGCGAGUGGAAUUCCUGGUGUAGCGGUGGAAUGCGCAGAUAUCAGGAGGAACACCAAUAGCGAAGGCAGCUCGCUGGGACGGUACUGACGCUAAGGCGCGAAAGCGUGGGGAGCGAACGAG